UAUUGCCCAGGCCAGCAGUGGCCAGCCAGUCUGCUGCCAAGUGAGUUCCGCAGGAGAUGGAGAAACAGUGGGGAGCCACACCAGCCACAUUGAAAAUCCAAGGUCUUUCCCCACUUGUUCAUGGAAGCACCUGUGACUGUUGGGUUUUGGGCUUCCCCAAACCAUAUCCCUGGGAGAGGGCUAAAAUAUGUCUUUUUUGGAACAUCCUCCAAGACUCUUGGGGGGUUUCCUGAGCUGUUGAUUCCUUUUCAUCCAGCUCUGUUUACCCCAGGUAGCAAGUGGUCCAUUUUUGUUCACAAAACUACUGUUUUAAUCUAAAAAGAAGUUGGUUCUGCGUUUUUACUGGAAGAUAAUACUCAAGUUUUUUACUUACAUGUUAUCAAAAUGCAAUAGUAUAAACUUGUACUGGUGAGACUCCCAAACUCAGUCUGUGUUCUCCUCAGUGAAAUCAGCACUUUCCUCUUCAUUUUUUUCUACCAUGUGGCUUUAAACUGUCUUCAAAGUCUUCUUCCUCAUCUCGCCAUCUUCACUGAAGUUUUCAGCUUCAGUGUCCUUAGUACACACAGAAAUGAAGACUGGAUUCCUAGCUUCAACUUCUGGAUGUGCUUAUUAAGCUGAGGUUGGCCUCAGCUUUGCUGAAUGCAGUCUUGUUUCCUAGGCAGAGAUCCUUCUGUUCUAGAUGGGAAGAUAAAAUGUAGUGGUCCCCUCUCCUUUCUUGGAAACACCAUAGGACAGCUGACUUGCUUCCACCUAUUUGACGAUGUGGGAAGAGGGAGAUGGUUUGAUUCAUCUAUACUGGGAAAUUCCUUGGCACAAGGCUGCCAGGAAGUGAAUAAGGACCGCAAUUCUAGUUUUUAAGAAGAUUGGGAUUUUGUUUAUUUUGUCUGUGAAGUGCCACAUGUACGUGGUAAAAUUCCAGAGUAUAAAAGGCUGAUUUGUGAAAAUCUAGGCUCCCUCCUUCAGUCCCCAGAUUCUCCUUGGACAGUUUAUCCAUCCUGACUCUGCAUACUCAAGUACCUGUUCUGUUUCUACCAAGUAUAUAUUGGAGCCUAUUUCAGAAUUGCCCAUAUGGGUCUGCUUAAUUAAUUAAUUUGUAUUAGGGAUUGAACCCUGGGGCAUUCCACCACUGAGCUGCAUCCACAGCCCCCCUCCAACUUUUUAAAAUUUUUGAGACAGAGCCUUGAACUUAAUCGUUUUCUCCUGCCUUAGCUGCCCAAGUAGCUGGGAUUACAGGUGUGCACCACUGAGUCUGGCCCUCUAUCCUGAACAACCACAGAGCAUUUCAUUAUCUUGAAUGUAUUGUCAUUUCUUUUAACAAUCUCCUAUUUAUAAACAGGGUUGUUUCUAA
rnacentral:lncRNA from 1 species